rnacentral:lncRNA from 1 species
CAUAAAUGUAGCAAUAUUGAAUGGUACUGAGCACAUGAGAAAAAAAGAGAUAGUGUCUACUUCAAGGUAUGAAACACCUCAAACAUAAAGCAAUAACAAUUUAAGACAAACUUACUGUAUGAGGGCCCCUGUUCUGAAUAAGAUGCAGAUUCUACGUCAAACCAACAACUCUACUUCAUGGAUCAAUGAAUUUUUUACUUCAUACGACUCCGCUCCGCUGCUAGCAACCACAAAUUCUCUUUCUCAAGUUGCAUCAAUGAAACAAGAUCAAAGUCAUUUUAAAUAAUUAACAUCUGUUUCUAUGAGGCAUUUAAUUGAACAUCUAACCAUUC